GACGAACGCUGGCGGCGUGCCUAACACAUGCAAGUCGAGCGGGGUCCAUCCAGUGGCAACACUGGGGAAGACCUAGCGGCGAACGGGUGAGUAACACGUGAGAAACCUGCCCUGAAGUCUGGGAUAACCCGAGGAAACUCGAGCUAAUACCGGAUGCCCCCACCGAGUCGCAUGGCUUGGUGAGGAAAGAUUCAUCGCUUCAGGAGGGUCUCGCGGCCUAUCAGCUAGUUGGCGGGGUAACGGCCCACCAAGGCAUCGACGGGUAGCUGGUCUGAGAGGACGAUCAGCCACACUGGGACUGAGACACGGCCCAGACUCCUACGGGAGGCAGCAGUGGGGAAUAUUGCGCAAUGGGCGAAAGCCUGACGCAGCAACGCCGCGUGCGGGAUGACGGCCUCGGUUGUAACCGACUUUCAGUGGGGACGGAAAACAGACGGUACCCGACAGAAGAAGACCCGGCCAACUACGUGCCAGCAGCCGCGGUAAU
rnacentral:rRNA from 1 species